rnacentral:lncRNA from 1 species
AUCAUCAUCCAGUUCGACCUGGAUGGCGGCACCACGACGACGCUUUGUGGUCCUGGUGGUAUCCUCGGCCCGGUGCCGAUCCAGACCGUAGUCUGGUAUGGGGUUAGAGAGUUGACGUUGGUCGCCCAUGCACUCCACGGCUGCAAUUAUGAGUAAAUUGCGAGAAAAUCUGAAGAUGGUAAUGAUUGUCAAAGCGGAAAAAAAAGACAAGUGCUUACCCCUUGCAUAGGUGUGAGGGUGAAAAAUCUGGCAUUGGUUGGCUCGUUAGGGAAGGAGGUCGCAUUGCCUGAACAUCAACGAGAGAAUCCUCAAGGGUUUGUGUGACCAUGGAUUACCC